UACGUAGGGGGCAAGCGUUGUCCGGAUUUACUGGGCGUAAAGAGCGCGUAGGCGGAAUGGUAAGCGGGGCCGGAAAGCCCCCCGGCUCAACCGGGGGAAGGGGCCGCGAACUGCCAUUCUUGAGGGGGAGAGGGGAGAGCGGAAUUCCUGGUGUAGCGGUGAAAUGCGUAGAGAUCAGGAGGAACACCAAUGGCGAAGGCAGCUCUCUGGCUUCACCCUGACGCUGAGGCGCGAAAGCGUGGGGAGCGAACGGG
rnacentral:rRNA from 1 species